UAACCCCAGUCAGGAGCUUACCGGGCACAUCUCACUCGGCUCCUCAACUGAUGCCGACACAACAUGGAGGACACAACACUUCACUGCCUUCAAUGCAUCCAGGAUACAACGGUGCGCCAUGCUUUCAAUCACAAGCACCGCCUCAGCUUGCUCAGAUUUCCUCCAUGCAAUCAUUGCCCUCAAACUCAGUGCCUUGGGGGGCACUGG
rnacentral:lncRNA from 1 species